rnacentral:snRNA from 1 species
GGGCUCAAUUCACAACACAUGUACUAAAACUAGAAUCAUACAGAGAAGAUUAGUAUGGCCCCCAGAUGACAGGCAAAUUCCUGAAGUGGUCCAUGCUUUU